GGAUGUGAGGGUGAUCUGGCUGCAACAUCUGUCAACCUCUUGGUGGCCAGGGUUGAUUUGGCGGAUCUGAUUUGGCUGGCUGGGCGGAUGUCCCCUGCCUCCCUCAGCGCUGCAUGUGCGUCCCUCCUGGAGCUGUGUGCUCAGUUAAGCGGACAACUGCCCGAUAGAGGAGGACCGUUCCUCGGUCAAGGGUAUACAAGUGGCUGCAUUCCCCUGCUAGAACCUCCAGACAGGCUCCCAAGAGAGAUCUGUGAGGGCCCCGUUUCUGAAUCUUAGUUAUCUGAAAUUUCUUCCCACUGUCUUCAAACAUAACUGCUGCCCAUGCUUGAUAGA
rnacentral:snRNA from 1 species